rnacentral:rRNA from 1 species
AACGAACGCUGGCGGCAUGCCUAACACAUGCAAGUCGAACGAAGGCUUCGGCCUUAGUGGCGCACGGGUGCGUAACGCGUGGGAAUCUGCCCUUUGGUUCGGAAUAACAGCUGGAAACGGCUGCUAAUACCGGAUGAUGACGAAAGUCCAAAGAUUUAUCGCCAGAGGAUGAGCCCGCGUUGGAUUAGGUAGUUGGUGGGGUAAAGGCCUACCAAGCCGACGAUCCAUAGCUGGUCUGAGAGGAUGAUCAGCCACACUGGAACUGAGACACGGCCCAGACUCCUACGGGAAGCAGCAGUGGGGAAUAUUGGACAAGGAGCGCAAGCCUGAUCCAGCAAUGCCGCGUGAGUGAUGAAGGCCCUAGGGUUGUAAAGCUCUUUUACCCGGGAAGAUAAUGACUGUACCGGGAGAAUAAGCCCCGGCUAACUCCGUG